GACGAACGCUGGCGGCGUGCCUAACACAUGCAAGUCGAGCGGAGGAUGCGGCGUAGUAAUACAAAGUAUCUUUAGCGGCGGACGGGUGAGUAACACGUGGGUAACCUGCCUCAGAGUGGGGGAUAGCCUUUCGAAAGGAAGAUUAAUACCGCAUAAGAUUGUAGCGUCACAUGGCGCAGCAAGAAAAGGAGCAAUCCGCUUUGAGAUGGACCCGCGGCGCAUUAGCUAGUUGGUGAGGUAACGGCUCACCAAGGCCACGAUGCGUAGCCGACCUGAGAGGGUGAUCGGCCACAUUGGAACUGAGACACGGUCCAGACUCCUACGGGAGGCAGCAGUGGGGAAUAUUGCACAAUGGGCGAAAGCCUGAUGCAGCAACGCCGCGUGAGUGAUGAAGGCCUUCGGGUCGUAAAGCUCUUUGAUCAGGGAUGAUAAUGACAGUACCUGAAAAACAAGCCACGGCUAACUACGUG
rnacentral:rRNA from 1 species